rnacentral:lncRNA from 1 species
GUUGUUUGUGUAUAUUUCAGGUGAUUUCUGAAUGGGGACGUUGCACUGGUUUUGCACCUCAUGAUAGGUGUGUCAAGAUUACUUUCAUUGUCUUGAUUUUAUGGAUUGUAAUAACAGAAGAGAUAUAUUCUGUAUACUCUUUCUUAUCACCAUAUUCUAAUUUCCAGUUUUGGUUGUUUACUCAAUCUGCUUGUAAAAUUCAGACUAAGCAAUUAUUGAUUUUCGCUAUUGUGAUCAUUAUCCUACUUGGAGUUUCUCUUUUGAUAUAUAUUUAGCAUGAUUGACGUUCUU